rnacentral:misc_RNA from 1 species
AAGUCGUAACAAGGUAAUCGUAGGUGAACCUGCGAUUGGAUCAUUCAUAAUGAAUUAUUUCAUUCUUUCCUGUGUUGUUGUUUGGUGGUGGGCUGAUGAUAUUUGGCCCACCCUCUUUUCCAACCCCCCACCCUUCCAACCCUACCCUAGCCUCUAACCAGGCCUAACUAAACACAACUGUUGACAACGGAUCACUCGGUUCUCGU